GGAUUGUGGCUCAGUGGUAGAGCACUUGCCUAACAUGUGUGAGUCACUGGAUUCGAUCCUCAGCACCA
rnacentral:tRNA from 1 species